rnacentral:rRNA from 1 species
GACGAACGCUGGCGGCGUGCUUAACACAUGCAAGUCGAGCGGUAAGGCCCUUUCGGGGUACGACGAGCGGCGAACGGGUAGAGUAACACGUGGGUGGACCUCGCCCUCCAGCUCUGGGGAGUAAAGCCGUGGGAAACCGGGGUACCGUAAUAACCGGAUAUGACUCCAUGACGCAUGUUGUGGGGUGGAAAGCCUUGUGCGGCUGAGGAUGGGCCCGCGGCCUAUCAGCUUGUUGGUGGGGUGAUGGCCUACCAAGGCGACGACGGUAGCCGGCCUGAGAGGGCGACCGGCCACACUGGGACUGAGACACGGCCCAGACUCCUACGGGAGGCAGCAGUGGGGAAUCUUGCGCAAUGGGCGAAAGCCUGACGCAGCGACGCCGCGUGA